rnacentral:lncRNA from 1 species
GGUGUUGGUUUGAUUUGGAUCUUUUUCUUUGUUUAUUUGAUAAUUAAAUUUGGUACUUAAGGACCGUCAACAACUCCCCCAAGCUUACCUCUUGCUCGUCCCUGAGCAAGGAUGGACUUAAGAGUUUCUGCAGUGGUUUCAUGCCUUAAAGGUACACAUGCGUUCAAACAAGAUCUCAUCUCUGGCUUAGGGUAAACUGUUAAGAUUUAAACUUACUCAUAUUACCUUCCACCAUGGGGCUUACAACCGUCACUUGUGUCUUGAGCAGUUAAAAGAUAGAACGGUCAAGUCAAGCGCCAUGUCUCUUGUUAUUGAUCAACUAUAGUUCUGGAGCUUUUGCAGAUUUUCAAAUAAAACUCAGAGAUUCCUUAUAUGACUCUCUCAAUUCUCUCUUUUGUGGUAUUUCUGGAUCCUCACCAAGGCAUUGAUGAUAUAUGCCUUCUCUCAAAGCAUGUGGUAUUUUUGGUAUGAGGCAUAGUAACACUGCCUUCUCUCUCACCCUACUCUAAUAAGGUUUUGAUAUCUGGAGCUCAUAGGUGGGAGACAGCUAAUACAUACUUACAAGAUAUUUAUUGCAUAGUCAAACCAUGGAUCUAGAGAAACAAGUCAGUAAGUCAAAUCAAGAUGUGCAUGUGUGGCGAAUGAAUGGUGUAUGGUGAUGAUGGUGAUAAUGGUGAAAACAAUGGUGAAAGUCUAAUUCUACUUUUGCUCUUUUGAGGGGAUACAUUCCUUUCUUGCACUUUGAAGCUUUUUGAGGGGGAAUGAGAUACUCUAUAUUUUCUUUUUCUUUUCUCUCAGGUGGGUAUCUUGUACCCCUAAUUCUACUGUCCAACACUUGUCCAUUUUUACCUCUCGUCUCACUUUUUCUUUUCUUCGAGGUUCCGGGCACUUGCCCCUUUUUAUUUCCUCGUACUUUUCUUUUUUCUUCUCUCUCUUUUUUUAGAGCACUCACCCUCGUGGAAUAAUGUAGCAAGUGGUAGUAACCAAAAUAUCUCGACCAUUUAUUUCAUAGGGAAAAACAGGAAUAGGAUAAUGUUUUUGGCUAUUCUCUCCUGGAUAGGAGUAGAAUAAUUUUGGGUAAAUCUGGAGAUGGAAAUGAGUGGAUGUAUGUGGAUGCGUACUUCGUAGAAGCAGCAUGUAUGAGUGAACGUGCAAGUUGUUGACGGUCCUUAAUGCUCAUAUUUAACCAUCAACUAAUCAUGGAAAAGGACUUAUAUGCAACCAACACCUAGACUUAAGGUUUUAUGUGACAGAAUUCCACGAUUUUUGGUGUUUGUCUAUUUCUGCAGGGGGUCAUCAGGAAAUAAGGAAGAAAGGCCCACACGUCGGGUUUACAUAGAGGUAUUAACAUGCUGCA